rnacentral:rRNA from 1 species
GACGAACGCUGGCGGCGUGCUUAACACAUGCAAGUCGAACGGAAAGGCCCUGCUUUUGUGGGGUGCUCGAGUGGCGAACGGGUGAGUAACAAGUGAGUAACCUGCCCUUGAUUAUGGGAUAACUUCAGGAAACUGGGGCUAAUACCGGAUAGGAGCUCCUGCUGCAUGGUGGGGGUUGGAAAGUUUCGGCGGUUGGGGAUGGACUCGCGGCUUAUCAGCUUGUUGGUGGGGUAGUGGCGUACCAAGGCGUUGACGGGUAGCCGGCCUGAGAGGGUGACCGGCCACAUUGGGACUGGGAUGCCACCCGGACUCCUACGGGAGGCAGCAGUGGGGAAUAUUGCACAAUGGGCGGAAGCCUGAUGCAGCGCCGCCGCGUGCGGGAUGACGGCCGUCGGGUUGUAAACCGCUUUCGCCUGUGACGAAGCGUGAGUGACGGUAAUGGGUAAAGAAGCACCGGCUAACUACGUG